AACGAACGCUGGCGGCAUGCCUAACACAUGCAAGUCGAACGAGACCUUCGGGUCUAGUGGCGCACGGGUGCGUAACGCGUGGGAACCUGCCCUUAGGUUCGGAAUAACUCCCCGAAAGGGGUGCUAAUACCGGAUAAUGUCUUCGGACCAAAGAUUUAUCGCCUUUGGAUGGGCCCGCGUUGGAUUAGCUAGUUGGUAGGGUAAAAGCCUACCAAGGCGACGAUCCAUAGCUGGUCUGAGAGGAUGAUCAGCCACACUGGGACUGAGACACGGCCCAGACUCCUACGGGAGGCAGCAGUGGGGAAUAUUGGACAAUGGGCGAAAGCCUGAUCCAGCAAUGCCGCGGGAGUGAUGAAGGCCUUAGGGUUGUAAAGCUCUUUGACCCGGGAUGAUAAUGACAGUACCGGGAGAAUAAGCUCCGGCUAACUCCGUG
rnacentral:rRNA from 1 species